CCGCAGGAAAAGAAAUCAACCGAGAUUCCGAAAGUAGCGGCGAGCGAAAUCGGAUCAGCCCAGUGCUUGAUAAUGCUGCCGACAGCAGAACGGUCUGGAAAGUCCGGCUACAGAGGGUGAUAGCCCCGUAUGCGAAGUCCGCAGCAUGGUACUAAGAGCACGAUAAGUAGGGCGGGACACGUGACAUCCUGUCUGAAGAUGGGGGGACCAUCCUCCAAGGCUAAAUACUCGUGAUCGACCGAUAGUGAACCAGUACUGUGAAGGAAAGGCGAAAAGAACCCCGGGAGGGGAGUGAAAUAGAUCCUGAAACCGCAUACAUACAAACAGUAGGAGCCUCUUUAAGGGGUGACUGCGUACCUUUUGCAUAAUGGGUCAGCGACUUACGUUCAAUGGCGAGCUUAACCGUAUAGGGGAGGCGCAGCGAAAGCGAGUUCGAACAGAGCGAUUUCAGUCGUUGGGCGUAGACCCGAAACCAGAUGAUCUAUCCAUGGUCAGGUUGAAGGUGUGGUAACACACACUGGAGGACCGAACCGACUAGUGUUGCAAAAUUAGCGGAUGAACUGUGGAUAGGGGUGAAAGGCUAAACAAAUCUGGAGAUAGCUGGUUCUCCCCGAAAACUAUUGAGGUAGUGCCUCGUGUAUGGCUCCAGGGGGUAGAGCACUGUUAUGGCUAGGGGGACAUGGCGUCUUACCAAACCAUGGCAAACUCCGAAUACUUGGAAGUCGAAGCACGGGAGACAGAGCACCGGGUGCUAACGUCCGGACUCAAAAGGGAAACAACCCAGACCGCCGGCUAAGGUCCCUAAUAUGAACUGAGUGGAAAACGAAGUGGGAAGGCUAAGACAGUCAGGAAGUUGGCUUAGAAGCAGCCAUCCUUCAAAGAAAGCGUAAUAGCUCACUGAUCGAGUCUUCCUGCGCGGAAGAUGUAACGGGGCUAAGUUCAUAACCGAAGCCGCGGAUUCACACGCAAGUGUGAGUGGUAGGGGAGCGUUCUGUAAGCCUGCGAAGGUGACUCGCAAGGGUUGCUGGAGGUAUCAGAAGUGCGAAUGCUGACAUGAGUAACGUUAAAGCGGGUGAAAAGCCCGCUCGCCGUAAGCCCAAGGUUUCCUGCUCUACGUUCAUCGGAGCAGGGUGAGUCGGCCCCUAAGGCGAGGCUGAGAAGCGUAGCUGAUGGGAACAAGGUUAAUAUUCCUUGACCGCCGUUGAGUGCGAAGGGGGGACGGAGUGUUGAAGAUCAUCCGGGUGUUGGAUGUCCCGGUUUCCGCGCGUAGGAGGCCUGCAGGCAAAUCCGCAGGCGAAUCUCCGAGGCAAAGGAUCGAGUCCCAUUGGGGACGAAGUGAUUGGAUGGACUUCCAGGAAAAGCCUCUAAGCUCCAGCUCAACGGGACCGUACCGCAAACCGACACUGGUGGGCGAGCUGAAUAUGCUCAGGCGCUUGAGAGAACUCAGGAGAAGGAACUCGGCAAAUUGACACCGUAACUUCGGGAUAAGGUGUGCCUUGGUAGCGUGGAGGGAGAAACACCCCGAGCGUGAAGAGGUCUCAGAGAAUCGGUGGCUGCGACUGUUUACUAAAAACACAGCACUCUGCAAAGACGAAAGUCGACGUAUAGGGUGUGAUGCCUGCCCGGUGCUGGAAGAUUAAUUGAUGGGGUGCAAGCUCCUGAUCGAAGUCCCAGUAAACGGCGGCCGUAACUAUAACGGUCCUAAGGUAGCGAAAUUCCUUGUCGGGCAAGUUCCGACCUGCACGAAUGGCAUAACGAUGGCCACACUGUCUCCUCCUGAGACUCAGUGAAGUUGAAGUGUUUGUGAUGAUGCAAUCUCCCCGCGGCUAGACGGAAAGACCCCAUGAACCUUUACUGCAGCUUUGCAUUGGACUUUGAACCGAUCUGUGUAGGAUAGGUGGGAGGCUGUGAAACCGGGACGCCAGUCUCGGCGGAGCCGUCCUUGAAAUACCACCCUGAUUUGUUUGAGGUUCUAACCUAGGCCAGUCAUCCUGGUCGGGGACCGUGCAUGGUGGGCAGUUUGACUGGGGCGGUCUCCUCCUAAAGGGUAACGGAGGAGUGCGAAGGUACGCUAGGUACGGUCGGAAAUCGUGCUGAUAGUGCAAUGGCAAAAGCG
rnacentral:rRNA from 1 species